GGUCAUAGUGGUUUAGUGGUUAUCACACUUGGUUCACACCUCCAGGGUUGUGGGUUUGAUUCCCGCCUCCA